CCAGGAUCAAUGAAUAAACUUAGCAACUCCUUAUUUCAUAUGAGCCUUGAGGACUAGGUCCCAAAAGUCAGCUGGGUCCAAUAGCCUUGAUCAACACAUGACAAACUGGUAUGCAUAGAAACCAGAAGUGCAGCACACCCAAAUGGUCGUUAUUCCUAUAAAAGAAGAAAACUAAACACUGAAUAAGAUAUAAGAAUUCAUAUCUCAAUUUCAAAUAAGCUAAAUUAUAAACAUAUUAUGUGAAGUUCGAAUCCUAAUUAUGACCUCGCCAACAACAAUAAAAAAUAUUACAUAGCUUAGCUAGAUUUGUAACUUGUUAAACCAUCAAUUCAUUGUUUGAAUCCAAGUUCUUCAAGAAACACAAAUGCCCCACUCGAAUUCUAAAAAUGUGCUAAAAAUUGUGAUGCAAAGCUCAGAAUCUGAGGGCCAAACUAAACCUGAAACAAAUUUAAGCUAGAUCGAAGGAAAGAUAAUUAAGCAAAGCUAGAUCCCAGCUAUAGGAAGGCAGAUAUUCACUAACACUCUGACUUGUGCACAAAUCAAAACUUAGAAGCUAUACGUUGAACCAUCAAUCCAACUUGCAUACAAGAUUCAGAUCAGUAAUACUGUGGACUUAAGAACCUUAAUUAGUAUACAUUUAAAAGUCUAAAAUGGCCUUGAAUCAACCAAAUUCAAACUAGUUCAAAUCCAAACCUUAAAACAAAAUGAAAUGCACCUAAGAAGCUGUACUAAAACAUGAAUAAUAACAAUGGUAGAAUUUAACACAACAAGACUUAUAUUUUUUCAAUUAAUUCCAACUCGGUCACAAAUCUUCAUACAAAGUUUAAUCAGGCUUCAUUUCCACCAUAGUUCAAGAGAAUACUUGGUGCAAUUAGAACAAAAGACAAGAUGAGAAGCUCAUUAGCAGAAACAAAUCUACUUCAGCAGUUCAACAACAGCCAAUUCAGCUUCUUCAAGCUAUUUCAAACCCAGAAUGAUUCCCCAAUCAACCUCCAGCUUUUAAAACUCAAAGAAUUACAGAUAAAACUUUUAAUGUAACAGUGCUUUUGGUGUUUUCUUUGUGUUUUCUUCUAAUUUUUCAGACCUUUUUAGUGUUUAGAGCUUUCUUUAACCAUUUCUCUUUUCUCAAAUCUGAUCCCCCCUUUAAGAAUUCAGUAAAUGGGGCUCUUAUACAGGGGUGCUAGGGUAGCAGUAAAUAUUUUUGAAUUUUCUCUUUAAUCCCUUUGCCACUUUCGUUUUUUCUUAAAAAUCCUCAGUUCAAAAAAUCAAAUUUCAUUUUAGUCCUAAGAUCAGCUUCUAAGAAGCUUCGCAUUUCAGCUAUUGAAAGAUUCCUUGCCUAGACUCUCCAAUUUACCCUUUGGGCUCCUGUUAAUUACCCUAGCAACCAUUGGUUAGUUUUGACCCAAUUGCUUAGCCCAAAUAUGUCUUGCAAAGAAAAACCAUCUGAAUCCUUUCUUUCUUAGCCUUUAUUUUUUAGAGAACCAAGUUAAAAUUCACAAAGCUUAACGGACUCGACCCAAAAGAAAAAGAAAACAGAGAUUCUUUGAUCCAAAACUACAUGAAAGAAAAAGGAAAAGAAGAAGACUGAUUAGCACGAACUAAUAACAGAAAUUUGCUAAGAGCCUAAAACAGGCGACCAAAAAACGUCUGUUAACAUACCAAAAAAAUGAAAAGAAGAUGACAGAAAAAGAUGAAGAUGAGAAACGAAGAAUGAGAACGUAGAAGAAAAAGGAAAGAGAUUACCUAACGGGGGACGUGAAAGGCAUGGCAUGGAGAAAACUCGCUUUGAACGACCCUAUUUUAUUCUGAUUUCAGGCCAAAAUUUGUGUACCUCGCUGGUUCUUGCCAAAACCAAAUAGAAUCGUUAAUUUCGGCCCUAAACGGUCUUUGAAACUUGAAGGAAUCAAAAGAUUUUAGUUGUCAUUUGUUUCUGCACGCUUGGAUCUAAGACGGAUUUUAAUUUUGUUAGGAUUCGAUGAUCGUGGAUGGUGGGUUUAAAGCGGGGAAGCCAUAGGGAUGUUGUGGUUAAGGUUUGGGGCUAUUUGGAAGUGGUGCCGCCGAUAAAAAUGGUGGAUCGCAUAGUGAGAGAGAUGAGAAAGGGAAAUGAUGGGAUUGUUUGGACUAGGUUAAUUAGGACAUUCAGAUACUUUUAUUAAAAGAG
rnacentral:lncRNA from 1 species